CCUACGGGAGGCAGCAGUGAGGAAUAUUGGUCAAUGGACGAGAGUCUGAACCAGCCAAGUCGCGUGAAGGAUGACUGCCCUAUGGGUUGUAAACUUCUUUUAUAUGGGAAUUAAUUGUUCCACGUGUGGGAUUUUGUAUGUACCAUAUGAAUAAGGCUCGGCUAACUCCGUGCCAGCAGCCGCGGUAAUACGGAGGCUCCGAGCGUUAUCCGGAUUUAUUGGGUGUAAAGGGAGCGUAGGUGGAUUGUUAAGUCAGUUGUGAAAGUUUGCGGCUCAACAGUAAAAUUGCAGUUGAAACUGGCAGUCUUGAGUACAGGAGAGGUAGGCGGAAUUCGUGGUGUAGGGGUGAAAUGCUUAGAGAUCACGAAGAACUCCGAUUGCGAAGGCAGUUCACUGGACUGCUACUGACACUGAGGCUCGAAAGUGUGGGGAUCAAACAGGAUUAGAUACCCGGGUAGUC
rnacentral:rRNA from 1 species